rnacentral:rRNA from 1 species
CUGAUCCAGCCAUGCCGCGUGUGUGAAGAAGGCCUUUUGGUUGUAAAGCACUUUAAGCGAGGAGGAGGCUCCUUUAGUUAAUACCUAAAGAGAGUGGACGUUACUCGCAGAAUAAGCACCGGCUAACUCUGUGCCAGCAGCCGCGGUAAUACAGAGGGUGCGAGCGUUAAUCGGAUUUACUGGGCGUAAAGCGUGCGUAGGCGGCUUUUUAAGUCGGAUGUGAAAUCCCUGAGCUUAACUUAGGAAUUGCAUUCGAUACUGGGGAGCUAGAGUAUGGGAGAGGAUGGUAGAAUUCCAGGUGUAGCGGUGAAAUGCGUAGAGAUCUGGAGGAAUACCGAUGGCGAAGGCAGCCAUCUGGCCUAAUACUGACGCUGAGGUACGAAAGCAUGGGGAGCAAACAGGAUUAGAUACCCUGGUAGUCCAUGCCGUAAACGAUGUCUACUAGCCGUUGGGGCCUUUGAGGCUUUAGUGGCGCAGCUAACGCGAUAAGUAGACCGCCUGGGGAGUACGGUCGCAAGACUAAAACUCAAAUGAAUUGACGGGGGCCCGCACAAGCGGUGGAGCAUGUGGUUUAAUUCGAUGCAACGCGAAGAACCUUACCUGGCCUUGACAUACUAAGAACUUUCCAGAGAUGGAUUGGUGCCUUCGGGAACUUAGAUACAGGUGCUGCAUGGCUGUCGUCAGCUCGUGUCGUGAGAUGUUGGGUUAAGUCCCGCAACGAGCGCAACCCUUUUCCUUAUUUGCCAGCGGGUAAUGCCGGGAACUUUAAGGAUACUGCCAGUGACAAACUGGAGGAAGG